UACGAAGGGGGCUAGCGUUGUUCGGAUUUACUGGGCGUAAAGCGCACGUAGGCGGAUUGUUAAGUCAGGGGUGAAAUCCCGGAGCUCAACUCCGGAACUGCCUUUGAUACUGGCGAUCUUGAGUCCGGGAGAGGUGAGUGGAACUGCGAGUGUAGAGGUGAAAUUCGUAGAUAUUCGCAAGAACACCAGUGGCGAAGGCGGCUCACUGGCCCGGUACUGACGCUGAGGUGCGAAAGCGUGGGGAGCAAACAGG
rnacentral:rRNA from 1 species